rnacentral:rRNA from 1 species
UACAGAGGUCCCAAGCGUUGUUCGGAUUCACUGGGCGUAAAGGGUGCGUAGGUGGUCAGGUAGUCUGGUGGGAAAGCUCUGGGCUCAACCCAGAAAUGGCAUUGGAUACUAUCUGGCUAGAGGAAUGGAGGGGGGACUGGAAUACUUGGUGUAGCAGUGAAAUGCGUAGAUAUCAAGUGGAACACCAGUGGCGAAGGCGAGUCCCUGGACAUUUCCUGACACUGAGGCACGAAAGCUAGGGGAGCAAACAGG